GAUAUGACUGGCAUUCAGCUGCACAUGAGAUUGGGCAAGGAGACCUUGUAGUGUCAGAGGAAAUGGCGGAGAGAAUCCACCAUGGUAACAUGGAGAAGAUGAACUUUAAGGGACUUGGGUAUGGACUAUGUCUGUUUGGGAGAAGGCAAAGAGAGAUGCUGAAAGAGAAACUUCACUGGCAAGAGAAUCCUGAAGAGAAGCAACUGAAGCAAGAGUUGUGGAGCAAAAUAAUCUUUUUCUGGCUCUGAGGAUGAGGCUGUCUUACAACCGUGAUAAGCCGACAUCUAAAAGCUGCUGUCAUUGUUUAGAGAAUAAAGUUGGAAUUGUAAAUGAAA